rfam:Stegodyphus mimosarum contig101705, whole genome shotgun sequence.
GCCUUCAUGGUGUAGUGGUCAGCACACUUGGCGGGUAUUCAAGAGGUCCGUGGUUCGAAUCCUGGCGACGGCA